AUGGCCGAGGAGGGGAAGCACCUGGAGACGGGCCGGGCCGACCGCUCCGUCUGGCUCAUGAAGUGCCCGACCAUCGUCUCGCGCGCCUGGCAGGAGGCCGCCGCCGAUGCCGGAGGCCCCAACCCUAACCCUAACCCCGUCGUCGCCAAGGUCAUCCUCUCCUUCGACCCGCUCAGCACGGACGAGGACCCGAACCAGUUCAAGAUGGAGAUGGCUCAAACUGGCAAUGGCAACACACCGAAGAAUUACUCUUUAAAUAUGUUCAAGGAUUUUGUGCCAAUGUGUGUUUUCUCUGAGUCUAACCAAGGGAAGCUUGCAUGCGAAGGAAAAGUCGAGCACAAAUUUGACAUGGAACCGCACAAAGAAAACCUUUCAGACUAUGCAAAAUUAUGCCGUGAGAGGACUAAAAAUUCUAUGAUUAAAACAAGAAAAGUGCAUGUACUUGACAAGGAGCAUGUGAACGUGCGCACAAUGAUUAGCAUGAUUGGUGGCGGGCCUCAUUCUGGUCCAAAGGACAAGAAGAAGCCGGCGCCAACCAGAACUCCUGAAGUGAAAAGAACACGAAGGGAUCGUGGGGAUAUUGAAAACAUCCUAUUCAAGUUAUUUGAGAGGCAGUCGAAUUGGUCACUGAGGCAUCUAAUGCAGGAAACUGAUCAACCAGAGCAAUUCCUGAAGGAGAUAAUGAACGAUCUUUGCGUCUACAACAAGAGAGGACCGAAUCAAGGGACGCAUGAGCUCAAGCCUGAGUACAAGAAGUCUGUUGAGGACACUAGCGCGACCUGA
rnacentral:rRNA from 1 species